rnacentral:rRNA from 1 species
GAUAAACGCUGGCGGCGUGCAUGAGACAUGCAAGUCGAACGGACGAUCAGGGCUUGCUCUGAUCGUUAGUGGCGGACGGCUGAGUAACGCGUAGGUGACCUACCCCGAAGUGGGGAAUAACUGCCCGAAAGGGUGGCUAAUACCGCAUGUGGUGGUGUGUUCGAUCACACCAGUAAAGCCGCAAGGCGCUUCGGGAGGGGCCUGCGUCCGAUUAGCUCGUUGGUGGGGUAACGGCUCACCAAGGCGACGAUCGGUAGGUGGUCUGAGAGGACGAUCACCCAGACUGGGACUGAGACACGGCCCAGACUCCUACGGGAGGCAGCAGUCGGGAAUUUUGCGCAAUGGACGAAAGUCUGACGCAGCAACGCCGCGUGAGGGAUGAAGGCCUUCGGGUUGUAAACCUCUUUUGUCAGGGAAGAUGAUGACGGUACCUGACGAAUAAGCCACGGCUAACUACGUGCCAGCAGCCGCCGUAAAAC